rnacentral:lncRNA from 1 species
UGCCUCGACAAACUAACUCCAUUUUAUAGAAUGAUUUUGCAUAAAAUAUUAUUGAGCAUUUUCGAAUACUAUUUUUAUAUCAUACUAUUCGAGUUAUUUAAUUUUAAGCUAACAUAAACGUGACUUUAUCAUCAAAAGUCUGUCAGAUGUUGAAACGAUUUUAACUCCUUUUUUAAGUUUUCAAACUUUUUAUUUUCACCUUAUUUAUUAACCUACAGCACAAGGCAAUCUUCCCAAUCAUUUUAACAUAUCUAAUGAACUUGCAACUUUUUACAUUAAAAUCAAUAAACCAUUUUAGAGUUGUAUCUCUAAAAAAAUUAUCGAUUUUAAAUAGAAAAAACUAUUGAUGAUUUCAUUUGAAUUCGGAAAACACAACGAAAUUAAUGUUAACUAUGUCGCUCUUGGCCUAUCACCUUUAGAUAUUCAGUUUAUACAGCGUGGACCACUGAUAACGUUCUUCUUAAUUUUGUAAGCCUUUGCAGGAAAACAUUCAGAUUUAUUUGAUCUUUUUAAGAAAACAAGGGGUGUCGAGUAGCACAUUGUUUUAAAAUCCGCUAGACCCUUUUAGACCACACCACAUUUCAGAUAUUUCGAUUAGUCGUUUUCUGCAUCAUUUGCCUUCAUACUAAUUUUAUGCGCCCACUUUCAAUUUAAAUUGAACUAUUCCUAGCGUUUUUCAAUUAUCUCAAACCCUCACAAAAUUUUUCGAUGGCUCACCCAGUAGAUACAUUGUUUUUGCUCAGAUAUAAAAUAUUCCUUUAUUCAACGAACUUCCACUGGUCUUCAUUACAUCGAACAGUAUCGUAGCGAGUAUUCAUGUCGUUUUCUUCGACCGAAAGAUAGAUUUAGUUAACUCGCGAUCACUGGACAGAUGAUAACUACUUACAUAUUCUUGCAUUGCAAAAAAGAGUGACACCUAUAUUCUUCCUCUUAUUCAUCGUUCUGGGAAUCCCUUAAUUGGAGUAUAUUUAACGUCACACUUCAUCACCCCAUCACCUAGAUAAGUCAGUUCCAAUCCAGGAGUACUGAGGGUAACAUCAUGGCGUGUUCGGUUGCUCUCUCAAUAUAUGCAAUUAGUGUGAUCUUGAUAACCAUGAUAAUUUAUAUUUCGGGAAGACCAUCUGGCUCUUGUGACACAAACGCGAUUGAGGAACCGGAUCCAGAUCCAAUGCCCUGCGGGCGCCCUCAACCUCGAGCAUUUUUAUUGAGGGAUUUAAUCGACGAUGCUGUAUUGUUCGAAAAACCAUUCGUUGUCUUACAUCGGUGCCACCAAUCAGGAUGCUGCCACUCUAACGAACAUGAAUGUGCGCCCACGAAUUCCACUACAUUCCAAUAUUCGUACAACUUUUACUACCAAAAUGGAGAAGAAGGUUGCGGGAAAAUAAUGCUCAUGAACGAUACUGCCUGUGAGUGUAGGGAAAGAACAUUAGUAUUAGACAAAGUUUAGGAGGAACAAAUUGUUUUAAUAGACUGAUCAAAGAUUGCUAGUCAUUAUGCAUUUGCUCUGCUAUUCUUUUAAGCACGUAUGUAUGUUAAGUAAUUUGUUCAAUAAAAUUGCUCGUACAAGGGACAAAGUUCUAUAGUGACAUUAUUUUUGAUCAGCUUGUUUCUAAGUAUUUACCUGUAUUUUUGUGUAGUCAGUGUAGGCGGUUUAUUGCAAAUAUGAUUUGCCUGUAUUUAUUUAUUUAUUUAUGAUAGGCUGAAUCUUAAAUUGCUCAAUAUUUAUGGACUGUUGUUAUCUUAUUCUACUUAUUUUUUAUUUGUUCGUGAUAUGAAGCAACACGUUAGGUAUAAGUUAGUUGAUUCUAUUCUGAACAUCUAUUCUGAAAAUGGUGCUUUACAUAAAAUGCCUGUUUUUAUUUAUAUUAAUUGAUAUAUAGACGCUUUAAGAUUUAUCUGAAUCGAUUUUAAACAUUGUUGUUCAAGGCGCUAGGUUUUUCUACACUAGAAAAAUAUCUGUCCACUUUAGUUAAACUUAGUUGUAAGGAAACAUUGACUCUUUUCACGAAUCAUCCGUUUUGAAGGGCGUUUUGCAAAAAUGAAUGCAUAACUUUUGUUUUCUUGCCAAGUUGUUACAUUGAUUCAUUCCUUUUAGAUCAUUAAUUUUAAAUGCUGAAUUGUAUAAAUUCACAUUAAGUGAUUUAAAUGGCUGUUAAUUACAACGAGUAUUUACAUCUGGUAUUUUACAAAAAUUUACUACUUAGCAGUUUACUUAAUACGUAAAACCCUGUGAUUAUUUCUGAGGCUCGAUCCUACAAAAUGUGAUUAUUUUGAAAUAAAUAUAAGUUUAGUUUGCAAGA